AACUCAAUGGCCAAGUGGUUAGAGCAUCCGCCUCGGUAGCGGAAGGUCGCGGUUUCGAUCCCCGGUCGAGCCA